CCCUUAGACGUUCUGGGCCGCACGCGCGCUACACUGACGAAGGCAACGAGCUUUCCUUUACCGAAAGGUACGGGUAAUCUUUUGAAACUUCGUCGUGCUGGGGAUAGAUCCUUGCAAUUAUUGAUCUUAAACGAGGAAUUCCUAGUAAGCGUAAGUCAUCAGCUUGCGUUGAUUACGUCCCUGCCCUUUGUACACACCGCCCGUCGCUACUACCGAUUGAAUGGCUUAGUGAGGCCUCCGGAUUGGCUUUGGGGAGCCGGCAACGGCACCUCAUGGCUGAGAAGUUGGUCAAACUUGGUCAUUUAGAGGAAGUAAAAGUCGUAACA
rnacentral:rRNA from 1 species